ACCUUGGGGGCAAUGCGGACUCGCUUGCUAUGGCGGGCAAGCUCUGAGCUCAUGAGGGAAGCCGCCAGGGGCAUCUUGUCUCUGUCCACUAAAGCCAUGCUGAGCAGUGAAAGGAAAACAAGGCCAAGCCCCGAGCCAGAGGGAAAGAACCUUACUGAUUCCAAGUGCUCGGGCAAUUGUGGAGACCCUGGGUCCAGUGGCUGGUGGCGGCCAGGCAUUGUGGGAGAGAAAUGAGAUGAAGUUACCACCAACGUGGUCAAUUUG
rnacentral:lncRNA from 1 species